AGCCACCCCACCCUGCAUGUGCAACAAGGCCACUGACUCACCAGCAUGAAGCACUGGCCAACUCCUCCACCUUGCCCAGGAGGACCCAAUAUCCUCUCCAAGGAAGGGAAGCGACAUGUCUCUGCAGUUAAAAACUACAGAUGAAAAAAUGUUUCCUGGAAGCAAUAAAAAUAAAAUAAUAAUAAAAAAAGAAGAAAUUACAGACCUGGCAGGUUAAGGGCACAUUUGCUUGUGCAAAUGCAGCUUCUGGCUGCUGGGGAGAGUCAGGGUGGAGCAUCCUCUGCCCCAGAGGGGCCAGGGCUGGGGUUCACUCCAGGGUUGGGGUUCACCACACUCUCUGUCCCUGGGAUGAAGGUGAGAGCAGCCAUAGGAUGUCUCUAAUAGAUGGUUAUUCAUGUCUGCUGCUGGCCAUGGAUACUUGUAGGAGAAGUUACUGCCCUUGUCCGACUGUCUGCUGCUCCCUGUGCUCCUCAGAUGCCAGAUGCUGGAAGGGAAUUGAAAACCAGAAAAAACACUAACUGAGGAGAGGAGCUUCAAAGCAACCAGUGGCCUGGUGCACCUUUGCAACAACACAGGACCAGAGGUACAAGGACACCAAUGACAGACUUCUAGCAUCUGUCAACCAUAGGAGAUGCUGCUGCUUGUUGUGUCCAGUGGCUUCCAGCACCCCAAAUGCAAAGUCAGACCUACUUCAACAAGGAAAUGUGGAGCUGAUUAAGUAUCUCAAGGAAAAUGGCACAUGCAAGUGCCAUUGCUUCAGACAACAAAUGUGUCAGUCACCAGGUAAAGCUGUAUCCUGUAAACCUUUCCAGUACAUGAGGUUGGGAUUUGAAUUCCCACAGGUGCAGAGCCAAGGGAAGGAGAGGAAAGAAGAUUAGAGGAUGGCCCAGGCUGUGGUCCAUGGGACUUGCUUCAGGAAAACUCAGCUCCCCAUGAAACACCAGCCCUGAUGGAUGGUUGGGGCAGAGUCCAGCACCACAUGUGUGCACACGUGGCAUUUAUUGCACUAGUAGGCAGCUCCAGCAGCAAUAGAAUAAGUGUGAAGUUUAGACUUACAAAGCAUCAGUGCAGGAUGGAGCAGCAGAGUAACAAAAUUAAGCCUUGCUUGGAAAUGUGACGCCAGAGCCCUUUGGUACUUGGCUUGUGGCAUCUGUGAGGACUCUCCUGAUGGUGAUUAAGAGCAGCUCCAUGACUCUGGAAAGCAGGCAGAGGUGUCUGCCUCCUCUUCAGGGGCACCUUGAGCUCCCAGCAGAGCAUAGAGGGGUGUGUGUGCUUGUGACCUGUGUGAGAUGUGCUCCAUGGGGCUGUGACCAGCUUGGGGGAGCCAGCGGCACCUGGGUGGUGGCAACCACAGAGCACAUAGUAAGUGAAAACUAUGACAUGGGUGAACAGCAGCCCCAGCACAGCAGGGCACCCCUGGACAGAGGGCUCUGACCAGGGGGAUGGCUACACUUGCUCUCACCCUGUCCUACACCUGCAGCCCCCACUGGGACACAAUCUGGCCUCUUGGAUGGAGAGUCCAAUCUCUCCUGUAGACCUUGAUCCUGCAAGAGGAACUAUGGUGAUGGAUUUUCAAAAUCAGCCAGAAUAGUGGGACCCAGAACUUAUCCAAGACAGCAACAGGAUUAGCCAUGUGAUUUCUUCUCUGUGUUUACAGGGGCAAUAUUUUUCCAAAGUUCAAAGUCUUCCUCUGCAGAAAGCAUGUGAUGUGCUUUGCAGCCACUACGUAGUUUUGAUGCUAUGAACAAUUAAAAAAAAUCAAUUUCUGGAGCAAUAUUUUCUAUGUUUCCAAUCUCUGAACUAAUUACAGGACUGGAAAAUCAAUAGCUAUCUGGAAAUCUUUCCAAUACAGACAACUAAACAUGCUACAUAAAAUGCUGGAAUAUUUUCUUCACAUACACAUGGUGCUCAUGACCAUCUCCAGAUGAUGUCACUGCCAGUAAGUGUCUGUACUUCAUUACAUGGCAGGGGCAACAUUUACCAACAUCUUCAGGGAGGAUUGGGCAGCACAAAUAACACAGUAUGGGAAAUCUGGAGCAACAUUCGUGCCAGCAUUUUAAGCCAACAACAAAAAGAGUUGAAAGGCUUGAUUAAUUCAACAGGAAUAUUCAAAAAGAUUAUGAAACAAAGUCAUUAAAAGUUCAUGCCAUGCCUUGGUCAUAAUGGGCUUUUUUUGUUUUGUUUUGUUUUUUCAUGAGGCUUUAUUUUAAGAAAAAAGUAAAAUCUUUGGUGACUGGAAAGAACCUCUUCUCUAGUCUCCUAGCAAAAGAAAAGUGGUGUUAAAUGGGUAGUUCAAUGGCAAUUACACUCCAAAAACACACAAAAAGAGGAAGGGUGUUGCUCUGAUGGAUAUGUUCUCCUCUUGCUGUACAAACAUAUUGUGUUGAUCGUGGCAACUUGGCUGGAGCCAAAGCCCAGACCCUGGUGCUGCCGCUCUGCUCUGUCCCCACGCCCUGCAGGCGUUGCUGGGAACUUGUUUGAGAUGCUGCCUCCUCCCUUGUACCCUGCCGGAGCUCAGCGUGCUCUUGAGACAGAGGAGCUUGUGCUGUCGCUAAAUGAAGAGCAAAUAAUCCUGUUGGACACGGUCCCAAAAUCCCAGCGAGUGGCUAGGAGGCAAAGCCCACCAUGUAGGGAAUCAGAGGAGAAGUGGGACUGGGUUCCAUCUCUGCCCUGUUUCCCUUCCCUCCCCAGGCCAGGGGACUCCCACAGCUGCCCCAGCACUUGCAGCUCUCCAAGGUCUGAACAUCAUCCCGGAGUGGAGCCUCAGGUCUAGCAACCCAUGAAGGAAGAAAAAGGCUGUGGUGUCUGUGCAUCACCUAAUGGAAAAAAAAACUGAGAAAAAAGAGCUCAGGCCCCUCAGAAAUCUUUCAAAUAGAAGUUUCAUCUCCCCUUUAUCUCUCUGAAAAUUAACACAUCACAUGGUGUGCAUGCUCAGUGGCAACAGAUGCUCCCCUGGCCACCAGCCAUCAGCACCUUGGGGACAUCCCAACUCGAGGUUUGCACAGAGAUUAUUGGGUUUAGCAGCCGCCAGAGCACGUGUCACCCAUGGACCUGUCUAAUCCUUCCUCAAACACAGCUACACGUUCAGCUCUGCAGUGCCCUCUGGCAAUGGUUGCCAUUGAUCAGGAGCUGUGCAAGAGUUUGCUUUAAACCUCCUACCUCAGCCUUUCAUUUACAGCAUCCUGUGCUCUCUUAAUAAUAAAUGCAGCUCGCUGAGCUGAGCAGGAUGGGCUGUGAUGCUCCCGUUUGCAAAAAACCAACAGGGUGUUACAGAGGUAGGAUAACACCAAGUCUGGUAAAGUCCCAACGGGGAUUUCCAGAAGUGCAUUUUCCACUGCAAGCCAGCACUAGCCACUGCUCUUGAGAAAUCCCAUCAUUAUUCAUUAUUUAUUAUGUUUCCUGUGAAUGAAUUUCUGGCUCAAACUACAGUUAUAAUAAAACUGUAAAAAAAAAUAUCUUUUAGGAAAAAAUCUGUUUCUCUUCUUCCUUCCUUCCUGGAGUUUUGUGGCUUGUUGUGCAAAGGAGAUGUGAAUCAUGGACAUAUUUAUAACAGCAAUAUUAGGAAAUGAUCAUUCAGCCACCAGAAACCUGUAGUAGGCAUGAUGUCUUUAAAUAAAUUGUUUAUUGCUAUGUUAA